UUGGGUUUUUUGUUGACUUUUUAUCCUCUUCCUAAACCUCUCUCUACAGAUCUAAUUUAACAUAUCUUUAACAUUUCUUCUUCAGAUUCUCAAAUCAUCGUCCCUCCGUUUCGACCACCAUUUUUCCUCCUAUUGAUUUUAAAUUCAGUUAUUAUUAUCAGAGAUUUCAUUAUCGAAAUACACCAUAUAAUCCAAUUCACUACUUUAUUCCACCAAACAUAUUUUGGUAAACGAUUACAUCCGGAAAGGAGAGAAGCAAUCUGAAUAGUCGAAUCCAAUCGAUGUGUAUUUUGGGUUUGAUAAAUAUGCAAGUCCGAGGAUUACGUUUGCACCCACGAGUAUAUCUACUCGACUAAUCAAACCAAUUGAGUUGUACAUGUGGAAGUCUCACCCAAUCCAACCGAAGCAUAUAAACGAAACAUCACACUAUCAUUAAGAUAUGUAGUUGUUUUCUUUAACAUGUACGAUUACUUAAUUUUGAAGAGGUGUUAUUAUAUUUAUUGUUUAAACUGUUUUCCAAUAAACUGCAGGAUACCAAAUGACAUGUACUUUCCUGUAGACCGUUUAGUACCAUACGGUAUAUGUGUUUGAACUUUGAAGUGAUAAACAAAAAGGUCGUUUUGAAUGGUUUUAUCAGAGCGGCAUCCAUUGAAGAAGGCUUGAAAGAAUACAGAGGGGAGAAUACUAACAUCGUAUUUAUAGGAAGUCUUCACGUAUUAAGAUUUAGGUAUGAUGAUAGUAUAAUUUAGGGUAUAUUCGUGGAAUGUGGGUGGAAAUCUUCCUAGUUAAUUAGGUAAUAUAUUCUUAACAAUAACGAUAUAUAUUGUAGGUGCAGUUAAGGAUAGAAAUUUAGUCAUAUUCAAGUACAUUACUAAAAACGCGGCUUAAUAAGAUUUUUGGAAUAUUAAUACGUGAUUAUCUGUCAAAUUAAGUAAUUUAAGGAAAAAGAUUGAAUAGCGUAAUGAAUGGAUUUAAUUGUUUGACGUGAUAAGAAGGGAGACUAAUUUAAUAUUCUUUUUCUAUAAACAAUGUUUAACCUUUUGUAGCCCAUUAAGGUUUUUUUGCAGCCCAUAGUAGCCCAUUAAUCGUUUGGCGUGACGCGUUGCUACGUAUGUGGACAAACUGAUUUCUCUAAAGUAUCCAAUUAAUAAUUUCGGGUUAUUUCUAAAUUAAAACCCGACCCGUUAUGUUCGAAUGUCUCUUUUAACCUUAAUGACUUGUCUUAUGUUAAAUUUCGAUAGGGAUAUUUUCGGGUUAAAUUAAAGUUGUACUUCUCUUUUACU